UAGGGAAUCUUGCGCAAUGGGCGAAAGCCUGACGCAGCAACGCCGCGUGAGCGAUGAAGGCCUUCGGGUUGUAAAGCUCUGUCAGGUGAGAAGAAACCACCGUGAGUGAAUAGCUCACAGUGCUGACAGUAUCACCAGAGGAAGCUCCGGCUAACUCCGUGCCAGCAGCCGCGGUAAUACGGAGGGAGCGAACGUUGUUCGGAAUUACUGGGCGUAGAGGGCGUGUAGGCGGUCGGGUAAGUCAGGUGUGAAAGGCUACUGCUCAACAGUAGAUCUGCAUUUGAUACUGCUCGACUUGAGGUCAGGAGAGGAGAGUGGAAUUCCCAGUGUAGAGGUGAAAUUCGUAGAUAUUGGGAAGAACACCGGUGGCGAAGGCGGCUCUCUGGACCGAUACUGACGCUGAGGCGCGAAAGCGUGGGGAGCAAACAGGAUUAGAUACCCUGGUAGUCCACGCCGUAAACGAUGUGUGCUAGACGUUGGGGGUUUGGCCCUCGGUGUCGCAGCUAACGCAUUAAGCACACCGCCUGGGGAGUACGGCCGCAAGGUUA
rnacentral:rRNA from 1 species